UUGAAAAAAUCUAUGACCUCUGAGCCCCACGGUCUCAAGAUUCCCAACUGCAAACUAAUAAAUACUUACGGUACUUGAUAACGUCGAUGUACUGCGGUAAUACCUGCUAUCCCGGACCUACUUGGAAGGUGAAACAGCGCCAGCAUAUUAACCCUCACGGUCGCGGUCGUCCCAUCCUCUAAGCCAUUGACAUCCCAUCGGAUCUCUUGUCAUCGCCACGUGUCAAACCAAGUGGUUCUAGAUUAGCGGGCGUACCCACAAUGACAAGAAGCCGGCCGUUGAUGUCAUUGAUAGCUAAGUGGCGCAACUAACGCCCAGCGCUCUUAAGUCAGGAGACACCGUGAUAGCUUAAUGUAUUGACGUUGUCCCUACACUUACAUUGGCGUGGAGUAUUCGUUUUGUGUCCCAAUAUGAGAGAGAUUGAAAGUCUGAAUUAAAGGUAAUUCGAUAAUCUAAUUGUAAUGUAGUCAGUAAAAACAAGUACCAAAAACCUACCGUGGUUUAAAAUUUCGGUAUUCACUUCAUAAUUUACAGGUACCCACUCCAGAAAUCGAGCAAAGCUUCGCAAAGACAAGUCUGAGAGUACAUAUUCACCUGUUUUAAGGGAUCAGGCACCCCUGGAAAAUAUAACGCCAAGGGUAAAAGAAUUAGUAAAAUCAAACCCUAAUCGCUGGCGUUCACACGCGAGCCGAGAGUCGCAGCUCGUGUCGUCGCGGCGACAGCUCCUCCAUCGCCCAUCGGCACACACAAUACAAGACUUCCAUCUCUGCUGUGUCCGAACCCCGCAUAUACGGCGUGCCGUUUUUCACAAGCCUCUCUCAACCUCUCCAGCACGGGGGAAAGAGAUUUUUUACAGCGACACUCGCGCGGACGGACGCGCGGACGGUCACUCAGCGACACAGCGACACAGCGACAUCCGCUCGCUUGUGAAUGUGCCCAUUUCAAAUUAGAG